rnacentral:tRNA from 2 species
AUACUAGCUCAAUGGUAGAGCAACAGCAUCGUAAGCUGUGUAUUGUGGGUUCAACUCCCACGUAUACCA